rnacentral:rRNA from 1 species
GCCGAACCGUAGUCCAACCAACAUACAAAAAUCCCAGACCACAAAACAAACCAUUUGACCAACUUAGUAGAUGAGAUCGAACACCAUAUCAGGCACUACUCCAGUACCGCAAGGGAAAACAUAAAUCAAGCAAAAAACAGCAAAGAUUAAACCUUGUACCUUUUGCAUCAUGGUUUAGCAAGAACACCGGACAAGAAAAACCAUAAGCCCACCACCCCGAAACCAGGAGAGCUACUUCAAAGCAGCCCACCAGGGCCAACCCUUCUCUGUAGCAAAAGAGUGGGAAGACUUAGAAGUAGAGGUGAAAUGCCUAUCGAACCUGGAGAUAGCUGGUUACCCAACAAACGAAUAUAAGUUCAACUUUAGAACCACAACACACCAAAAUAGUACUCUAGAGACACUCAAUAGGGGUACAGCUCUAUUGAAACAGGAUACAACCUGAAUUUGCGAGCAACAUCAACAACAUUAAACCAGUAGGCCUUAAAGCAGCCACCCAUAAAAAUAUCGUUCAAGAAUUACACACAAAAGAUACCAAACAAAGUUAAAUCCUCCAAACCAACUAAGGGUCAACCUAUACACAUAGAUAAACUUCUGCUAAAACUAAUAAUACGAAAAAUUCUCCAAGCACAACCCUCCACCAGAAACAGAAAACCUACUAGUAAUUAACAGACCACAAAAGGACACAAACCACCCAAUACACAACACCACCAAACUGUGACCCCGACACAGGAGUGCCAAAAAGAAAGACAAAACAUUACAAAAGGAACUCGGCAACCAACGGCUCCAACUGUUUACCAAAAACAUAACCCUUAGCUAAACCAGUAUUAAAGGCAAUGCCUGCCCAGUGAAACAUCUUCAACGGCCGCGGUACCCUAACCGUGCAAAGGUAGCGUAAUCAUUUGUCUAUUAAUUGUAGACCAGUAUGAAAGGCCACAUGAGAGCCGAACUGUCUCUUGUAAUCAGUCAAUUAAACUGAUCUCCUAGUACAAAAGCUAGAAUAACCAUAUAAGACCAGAAGACCCUGUGAAGCUUAAACUAAACUGUUAAAACCACUAACAGCCACUUUCGGUUGGGGCGACCUUGGAACAAAACAAAACUUCCAAAAACCAUGAGCACUACCUCAUAUACAGGCCAACAAGCCACCCUAUGACCCAGCACGCUGAUAAACGAACCAAGUUACUCCAGGGAUAACAGCGCCAUCUUCUUCAAGAGCCCAUAUCAAAAAGAAGGUUUACGACCUCGAUGUUGGAUCAGGACACCCAAAUGGUGCAACCGCUAUUAAAGGUUCGUUUGUUCAACGAUUAACAGUCCUACGUGAUCUGAGUUCAGACCGGAGCAAUCCAGGUCAGUUUCUAUCUAUAAACGGCCCCCCCCAGUACGAAAGGACCAGGUGGGCAAAGCCAAUACCACAGGCACGCUUUAAAGAAAAAUAUAAAUCAAUUAAAUAUCACAAUACUACCAAAUUAAGCCCAGAAAAGGCUAGUUAAGAACCCACAAACACACAACCUUAACAC